CCUACGGGGGGCAGCAGUCGAGAAUCAUUCACAAUGGGGGAAACCCUGAUGGUGCGACGCCGCGUGGGGGAAUGAAGGUCUUCGGAUUGUAAACCCCUGUCAUGUGGGAGCAAAUUAAAAAGAUAGUACCACAAGAGGAAGAGACGGCUAACUCUGUGCCAGCAGCCGCGGUAAUACAGAGGUCUCAAGCGUUGUUCGGAAUCACUGGGCGUAAAGCGUGCGUAGGCUGUUUCGUAAGUCGUGUGUGAAAGGCGCGGGCUCAACCCGCGGACGGCACAUGAUACUGCGAGACUAGAGUGAUGGAGGGGGAAACGGAAUUCUCGGUGUAGCAGUGAAAUGCGUAGAGAUCGGGAGGAACACUCGUGGCGAAGGCGGGUUCCUGGACAUUAACUGACGCUGAGGCACGAAGGCCAGGGGAGCGAAAGGGAUUAGAUACCCUUGUAGUC
rnacentral:rRNA from 1 species